rnacentral:rRNA from 1 species
ACACAUGCAAGUCGAACGGCAGCACGGGAGCUUGCUCCUGGUGGCGAGUGGCGAACGGGUGAGUAAUACAUCGGAACAUGCCUAGUCGUGGGGGAUACCGUAGCGAAAGUUACGUUAAUACCGCAUACGUCCUGAGGGAGAAAGCAGGGGAUCGAUCACUGAGCGCAUUGACGCAGUCAAUAAAGCUGCUUAGUGCAUUGAGUGAUCGACCUUGCGCGAUUAGAGUGGCCGAUGCCUGAUUAGCUAGUUGGUGAGGUAAUGGCUCACCAAGGCGACGAUCAGUAGCGGGUCUGAGAGGAUGAUCCGCCACACUGGAACUGAGACACGGUCCAGACUCCUACGGGAGGCAGCAGUGGGGAAUUUUGGACAAUGGGGGCAACCCUGAUCCAGCCAUUCCGCGUGAGUGAAGAAGGCCUUUCGGGUUGUAAAGCUCUUUCAGCGGGAACGAAACGGUACGCUCUAACAUAGCGUGCUAAUGACGGUACCCGCAGAAGAAGCACCGGCUAACUACGUGCCAGCAGCCGCGGUAAUACGUAGGGCGCGAGCGUUAAUCGGAAUUACUGGGCGUAAAGCGUGCGCAGGCGGACUGUUAAGCAAGAUGUGAAAUCCCCGGGCUUAACCUGGGAAUGGCAUUUUGAACUGGCAGUCUAGAGUGUGUCAGAGGGGGGUGGAAUUCCACGUGUAGCAGUGAAAUGCGUAGAUAUGUGGAGGAACACCAAUGGCGAAGGCAGCCCCCUGGGAUAACACUGACGCUCAUGUACGAAAGCGUGGGUAGCAAACAGGAUUAGAUACCCUGGUAGUCG